ensembl:snoRNA
AACUACAUUCUUGAUGGAAAUGGGCAUUGUUGCUUUUGGUGUUCAGUAAUAGAUGUGGCUACAUGAUCAAGGCUAAGCUUCCACAACAGCAGUGCAAUGCAGUGGUGACAAUGAGGCCCGAACCAUGU